rnacentral:tRNA from 2 species
GAGACGUGGCCGAGUGGUCGAAGGCGCUCCCCUGCUAAGGGAGUAGGCCCGGAAGGGUCUCGAGGGUUCGAAUCCCUUCGUCUCC